rnacentral:rRNA from 1 species
GAUGAACGCUGGCGGCGUGCCUAACACAUGCAAGUCGAACGGAGUUAUUAUUAUGAAGUUUUCGGAUGGAUUGAUAAUAACUUAGUGGCGGACGGGUGAGUAACGCGUGGGUAACCUGCCUCAUACAGGGGGAUAACAGUUGGAAACGGCUGCUAAAACCGCAUACGAUGUGAAUGCCGCAUGGCAAUCACAUGAAAUAUUUAUAGGUAUGAGAUGGGCCCGCGUCUGAUUAGCUAGUUGGUGAGGUAAUGGCUCACCAAGGCGACGAUCAGUAGCCGGCUUGAGAGAGUGACCGGCCACAUUGGGACUGAGACACGGCCCAAACUCCUACGGGAGGCAGCAGUGGGGAAUAUUGCACAAUGGGGGAAACCCUGAUGCAGCGACGCCGCGUGAGUGAAGAAGUAUUUCGGUAUGUAAAGCUCUAUCAGCAGGGAAGAAAAUGACGGUACCUGACUAAGAAGCCCCGGCUAACUACGUGCCAGCCGCCGCCGUAAAAC